rnacentral:rRNA from 1 species
AGCGAACGCUGGCGGCAGGCUUAACACAUGCAAGUCGAGCGGGCACUUUCGGGUGUCCGCGGCGGACGGGUGCGUAACGCGUGGGAACGUGCCCUCUGGUUCGGAAUAACUCAGGGAAGCUUGAGCUAAUACCGGAUACGCCCUUUUGGGGAAAGGCUUGCUGCCGGAGGAUCGGCCCGCGUCUGAUUAGCUAGUUGGUGAGGUAACGGCUCACCAAGGCGACGAUCAGUAGCUGGUCUGAGAGGAUGAUCAGCCACACUGGGACUGAGACACGGCCCAGACUCCUACGGGAGGCAGCAGUGGGGAAUAUUGGACAAUGGGCGCAAGCCUGAUCCAGCCAUGCCGCGUGAGUGAUGAAGGCCUUAGGGUUGUAAAGCUCUUUUAUCCGGGACGAUAAUGACGGUACCGGAGGAAUAAGCCCCGGCUAACUUCGUG